CUUUCUAGGAAUGGUUUUGCCCUAAAGUUUACUUUGUCUGAUAUUAGUCCAGCUACACCAGAUUUCUUGUGAAUAUCUCAAAUAGUGGUUACUUCUACUGGCUGGUUUUUGCAAUGAAGACAAUAUAUGGUGAAGAACUAAAGCCAACUCAGAGCUACUGUGGUCAACAUAAAAUGCUCUGAAGUUUAGUCCUUCCCCCAAGCCUAUGGAACUUCCAGAAGCCUUCCUCAUCUUUUCAGCUUCUUAAGCACCACCAUCUGCUUGUCUUCUUUGCUUCUCAGACACAGUAUUUUGCUCAGCUUCCUGGCCUCUCAGAAGGCAGUUUGGAUUUUCAAAGGCCUUGAAAGGCACUGUGAUCAACCAGCCAACACUAAAGAUUUCUGGGAGCCAGACUCUUCUAAUCACUGCUUUGACUCUGCUGGCAAUUAUGGAGCUGGCUAAGCAGUCUCUGUAUGGCUGUUUUCUCACACAUGAUGCUGAGGCUUCAAGAUCACAGGGAUGGCAGUCAGAAAAGGAAAAACACAAGCAGGCUGGAACCAACAAGCUUAAGCUGGAACUCCGUGGAGAAGGACUAAAACCUGUGUUCAUUCUUGUUGCCUCUAACCUUGGUAAUGAGGGUAUCCAGCAGAAGUGGGGCCCUUUGUCACAAAGUGAAACACACACCCCUGGUCUAGGAGUCUGAGAAGCUGAAAGAAUAUCAGCGGCAGGUAGAGCAGCCACAGAAUCAGAUGCUGCUUCACACCAGUAGGGUGAAUCUACAGAUCAGCAACAAUAUGUGUGAGCCACAAAAUGGCCACUGCUUCUCUUUCAGCCUCUAAAUGUCUCAAGAAUCUUCCCUAUGUCUUACCUCAACUCAAAACAAACAAGAGAAAAAAUUCUGGGAAAUGCAAUUCAGCCUAGACAAGGUGACAUAUGAGAAAGCCAUUACAAGAUAGUUUGCUCAAAGUAGGAUCCAAAUUAUGUCCAUACUCAAAUGAAAAUAUUAUCCAAGCUGGGAGAAUGUGUGGUUCCAAAGACUGACUACAAAAUAAAUUAUGAGCUUAAAUGGAUUAAAAUCAUAUUAAAUAUGUAGAAACUUCAAAACUCCACAAAUCCAAAGUAUGUCAUGUACGGAUAGAAAUUUUUUCUUCACUGAUGAGAUAGAAAAAGAAUUUGUCUGGCACAAUGUAUGACCCUUUGUCUAUUCAAAAAUGAUCACAGCUAAUGCAAAACAUUUAACAGAAAGAUAAAUUUAAUGUUAACAAGCACAUUUGAUAAUUGUCCCAGGAAAGAUUAUAGGUAACUGGAUGGAAGUAUUUUUCAAGUAAUCUAGGAUAGUCAACAUUUUAAAUGCACCACAGAGACAUUUAUCUCAGCAAUUCAGCAAAGCAGCAUCAACUCUUGAGCCAGAAUAAAAGCUUUCAGCUUCUCUUUUGAGAAGAUUCUGAGCAUUUACUUCAUUUAUAGUAAGGCUCUCUCAAAUUUUUCUCUAAGAUUUCCCAGAACCUUUCUGAGGCUUCAUGCAAUUUAUAUAAGUCACUUAACAAGCACUUGUUGAGCUGUUACCAUGUGUCUGGCACUCUUCUAGGUGCUCUCUAUAGACAAAGAAUAAAAUAGACAAUCUAUUCUCAAGAAACAAGCCUUCAGUGAAUCAAUAAACAAAUAUAUAUACACACAUAUAGUUGUGACAAGUGUUAGGAGGAAAAAUAUGACUGGGCAAAAGGAUGGAGAGUUAUACAGAGGAAUGCUCAUGCCUUUUUAUAUCAAGUAUUCAGGUCUUUAUACUUUAUAUCAAGUAUUUACUUCAAGAUACUUUAUAUCAAGUAUUCAAAGUCCACUAAAGAUUAUCUGUAAGUAGAGAUUUGAAUCAAAUGACGAAGUAAGUGAGUGAGGAUUUCUAGAGGGGAAAUCCUAGCAUUCUAGGAGAGGGAAUCAUAAAUGCAAAGGCCCAGAAGAUGGGAGCUGUUAGCAUGUUAGAGGUCCAGCAAGGAGUACCUGGAGUAGAAGGAGCCAGGGAAAGAGAGUUGGGAGGUGAAGUCAAGAGAGAUCCAGGGGCCAGACUCAGAGACCAUGGUUAAGAUUUUCUUCUGAGAGACAAGAGAAGCCACUGGAGGAUUUUGAGCAGAGUGGCAAGAUGUGAGUUUUGUUUUUAAAGGAUCUUUCUGUUUGCUUUCUGGCAAGUUGACAUUAAGGGGACAAUGGUGGAAACAGGGAGACCAGUGAGGAGGCUAUUGCAAUAAUUCACUAUACUAGGGUGGUAGUGAUGAAAUAAGGUGGGAUAGUCAGAUUCUGGAAUUCUGGGUAUAUUUUAAAAUAGAGAUUAUGGGAUUUGCUUAUAGAUGCUAUGUGGGAUGUAAGAGAAAGGGGUCAAAUAAAUGUAAUUAUGUUUAAAAACUUCGUAUUUAACUUCUCUCUUCCUUUUCUUCAACAGAGUUAUCAUUUCUCUCUCUCCAAACACUCAGCACCCUACCACUUGCCUCUAGCUGUCUAAAACUCUUACCAUUCCCCCUACCCCUAUAAUGAGACAUCCAACCCAACUCUACAACUUCUAUUUGUCUAUUUUUGCUAUAAAAAUCCUCCCUUUCUGCCUGUUCCUUAUUCAAUGCUCACCCCAUCACUCCAUUCAAAGCCUUUAUGCUCUGAGACUAACUUUUUUCGCUCACAUCUUAAACAGAAAGUAUCUGAUGUGAGUAAUUCAGAUUCGGGUAGAAAUGACUAAUAAUUUAAAUUAAAAUAGUUUACUUUUCAGGGAGGUAUUUUAAAAAGCUUUGAAAUCACCCAAAGAAGCCCUUUUCUUGUAAACACGCCUAAGUUCUAUGAUCACCUACAAAUUACACUUACCCUUUUCUUGUGGUAAACACUCCAUGAGUUCUAUGAUCACCUGCAAAUUACACUUAGUUGCUGACUGCCCCCCAUCCAUGCAGGCCUUAUGCUGACAUUAUCGAGGCUCACGCUUUAUCGGAAAAGGAAACUACAGGAAAUGAAUCAUGAAUCAUUAUUUUUAAAGAGCAACUCCAUCACAGCUUGCUUAUCAUUAUUAAUAAAUGAAGAAAAGAGCUAAACAUGUGAACUUACAUCACAAGAAGAAAGAUUGAAGUCUCUUAACAUACCCGGACAGACUUGUCAUAAACUAUUGCCUGCUCUGUGGACCCAGCAGACUUUGUCCCAGGCCAUUGAAUGUUCUGAGCCCAUUGAAUUCCCCUAAGAAUCAUUUACUACUCCCCCUAAAAUCAUCCAUGUUUCCCUAUCUCCCUUUCCACUAAGAAGAAGGGUAAAUAAGCAUCUCUACCCAAUUGUGUGGUGGGGUAAUCUCUCUGUGAUUUUUCCCUUCGUGCACAUGAAUACAUUUGUAUGCCUUUUCUCUUACUAAUCUGCCUUUUCAGUGGGGCUUCAGAAGGUGAAUGGGAAGUUUUCCCUUGGUCCCUACAAGGUCUUAGUUACCUGGCCAAACCUAGCAGCAAAAGUUGGGAAAUUUUUAGCCAACUUUAGAGAAGAAAUGCUAAGUGAAUAUUAUUUUGUUAUCAAGGUAGCCCUGAUGAAGUAGCUGGGAAAGUUCUUUUACUUACUGUUUUUCUUCAGCCCUUAUUUAUAGGUACAGCCACUUAAAAAAAACAGAUGAGCCCCAUGAUGGAGUCAGAGCUUCCUGACCCCUGACCAGAUACCAGAGGGAGAUAAGACCCUGAAACCAACCCAAACUGGAAGAGAUAACCCCAGUGGCCUUUAGAUCAUUAACAUAUCAUCAUAAUGCUAAAAUUCCCACUACAGAAAGAAAAUUUCUGCCAUUUUAUGUACAUGGGUUGUACGAAGAUGUGUGUUUAUGAGUUAAGUCUGCACAUGUGUAGUCCCACCCUACACAUGCUAACCUUCCUUCUUGCUCCUUGGACCCAGCCCUUAAAAACUCCAUGUCUUCUAUUGGUCGGGGAGAAAGGGUCUUUAGAGUGUAAGCUUACUCCUUCUUCAUUUCUGGAAAGAAAUAAAACCUGCUUGCCUUUUGUUCCAAUUGGGUGUUCUUUCUCUGUGACCAAUACAAAGUAGGGAAAAAAACUCAAUUUGCCAGUGACAAUACGAGCAACUAGCAAUUUGAGCAAGUAUAGCCAGCUUAUUUUCCCUGUACCAUUCCAUUUGAGAUAAUGUGCGCUUCUAAGGAUAUAUGCUUUUAUUGUCAUGAUGGAACUGAAGUGGAUGAAAGUGCCUCUAGCUGCUCUGUAUCUAGUUAUUCAGUGGAUCCCCAAAUCCGGUUAUAAAACCUAUAAGAUUUUAUUUGUUCAUAUUUCCCAAAUGAAAAAAAGAUUUAGUUUUAUUUUCUUUUUGUCUCCUCAAACAAACAAACAAAAGCUAAGCUAGAUUUGACACAAAAGUAUCUAGGUUCUUCUCCCCAUCGCACCCCCAACCCCCAAGAAACUUACGCUGAAAAGAGAGAAUAAUAGAGAUUAAAUGUCAGCUGUGUCAAUCUAUAAUUCAAAGUGAUAAAAUGAAAAGAGACCCCCAAUAUCACCCUGGCUCAGGUGAUAUAGCAGGGUAAGUGGCAAACCCUUAUCUAGGCAUCUAUUCCAAGA
rnacentral:lncRNA from 1 species